AAGCGGUGGAUGAUGUGGUUUAAUUCGAUGCAACGUCGAAAACUUACCCACCUUUGACAUGUACGGAAUCCUUUAGAGAUAGAGGAGUGCUCGAAAGAGAACCGUAACACAGGUGCUGCAUGGCUGUCGUCAGCUCGUGUCGUGAGAUGUUGGGUUAAGUCCCGCAACGAGCGCAACCCUUGUCACUAGUUGCCAUCAUUUGGUUGGGCACUCUAGUGAGACUGCCGGUGACAAACCGGAGGAAGGUGGGGAUGACGUCAAGUCCUCAUGGCCCUUAUGGGUAGGGCUUCACACGUCAUACAAUGGUCGGUACAGAGGGUUGCCAAGCCGCGAGGUGGAGCCAAUCCCUUAAAGCCGAUCGUAGUCCGGAUCGUAGUCUGCAACUCGACUACGUGAAGUCGGAAUCGCUAGUAAUCGCAGGUCAGCAUGCCGCGGUGAAUACGUUCCCGGGCCUU
rnacentral:rRNA from 1 species